UGGGGAAUAUUGCACAAUGGGGGGAAACCCUGAUGCAGCGACGCCGCGUGAGCGAAGAAGUAUUUCGGUAUGUAAAGCUCUAUCAGCAGGGAAGAUAAUGACGGUACCUGACUAAGAAGCUCCGGCUAAAUACGUGCCAGCAGCCGCGGUAAUACGUAUGGAGCAAGCGUUAUCCGGAUUUACUGGGGUGUAAAGGGAGCGUAGACGGCAGGGCAAGUCUGAUGUGAAAACCCGGGGCUCAACCCCGGGACUGCAUUGGAAACUGUCCGGCUGGAGUGCAGGAGGGGCAAGCGGAAUUCCUAGUGUAGCGGUGAAAUGCGUAGAUAUUAGGAGGAACACCGGUGGCGAAGGCGGCUUGCUGGACUGUAACUGACGUUGAGGCUCGAAAGCGUGGGGAGCAAACAGGAUUAGAUACCCUGGUA
rnacentral:rRNA from 1 species